AGCAGGAGGUGCAAGAGGGGAAGGAGGAGGGAGGGGGAGGAAGAGGGAGAGGAGGGAAAGGAGGAGGGAGGAGGAGGGAGAGGAGGAGGAGGGUAGCAUAGCGGCCUAGGCUGUGGCCUGGAGAGGGAACUGGAAGAGCUCUGUGAGGGACUCAUCCAUGGGGAGGACCCGUUCACCCUGGAUGAAGCCCUGAGACGGCGGGCUGUGAAGUCACCAGUGGUCCCAGAAGAUGCAAGGUGACCACGCCCGCCCCUGGGCAAGAGGCACAAGGGAGGCGAGUCACCCUCUUCCAAAGCUGUCUGUUUUCUGGAUGUUUCAAUGCCCUGAUUUCCCCAUUACCUCCUCUUGCUCAGAGACGCUCUGGACAGAAGUUUUGUUUACAACCCGCUGUAGGAGUGAAGCCACAGCACUGCGCUUGUGGGUACAGAACCCAGGAUGCCCGUCCCUUUGGGCCCUGCUGAGUUCAGUCUGGUUCAUCCCAGCACCGUAGGGACAGCCCUACAUUCCUGAGGUUCUGGGCCUGCCCCUCCUUUGCUAGUUAGAAAGUCCAGUUCAACAGGUAAGGGUAAUAAUGAAGGAUUCCCUACAACACCGGCUCCCCCAGAAACAAAUCACCAGCGGUUAGUUUUCUAGAAUUAGGCAGUGGCCUUGCUGAUGCUGCCGGUUACAAGAGGACAGGACUCUCAAUGGCGCCAGGUAAGUCACACCGGCUGAUUUCUUUUCUCAUCCACACACUCGUUCCUUUCUUAGGAGGGGUCCCUAGCUGCUGCAAGGGUCAGCGUGGAGGAAGGACCGGAGUGCAGGGCACUUGUAUCUCAGGGCCUUGGGCGUUUGUUUUCAGUCACAGGGGAACGAGCAGCUUCAAGGUCACAAAGCACCAGGACGCCCGACACCCGGCACAUCCCAAGGCUUCCCCGGUAGUGCGGAGAAGAAAGUGAGUUGGAAACCAGAUGAUGCUCUGGAUACUGCAACUCAGGGGCGGACGAGAACCUGUCAAGUCCCUCCUCCGGGCUCCGCACGCACAGAGAACCGGGUCACCGCUGGCGUGCGAGCCUGAGGGCUGACCAGGACGCGCUCCCGGGCGCCCGGGGUCGCGGCCCAGUCCUGCCCCCACGUGCGGGAGCGCAGAGGCGCAGAAGGACGGAGAAGGAGGGCGGAAGAGCACACAGCGCCUUUGCAGGUACGAGUCUGCCAGGCUCUCGAGUCAACGUCUUCCUGCUGGAGAAAAUUCAGACGGAGUGAGCAAGAUAUUUAUGGAAAGUAGGGCAUUUUGGAAGCAUUUCGUAACUUCUCAGACGGGGACGACGGCACCUCCCGUGCGCGGAAGAGGCGAUGUCCCAGCCCCCUCCCCCCCCCGAGCCCCCAGACAUACGCGGGGUAGCGGGGUCACCCGGGACCGGGCGACCUUGGCGGGGCGGCGCGACCUUGAGGCCUGCGUUCGCCUCAGUUGCCCCCUCUGCGCAAUGGGGACACGCCCUGACCGCCGGGCUGCGUGGGUCCGCCCGCGCCGCAGACCCCUCUCCCCGCGCGCCCUCGGGCUCCGCCGGUCCCCCGGGCCUCCGUCCCCGCGCCCGGCCCCCGUCCCAGUCCCCAC